AUAUCAAUAAGCGGAGGAAAAGAAACUAACAAGGAUUCCCCUAGUAACUGCGAGUGAAGCGGGAAAAGCUCAAAUUUAAAAUCUGGUGGUCUUUGGCCAUCCGAGUUGUAAUUUAGAGAAGCGUCUUCCGCGCUGGACCAUGCACAAGUCUCCUGGAAUGGAGCGUCAUAGAGGGUGAGAAUCCCGUCUUUGGCAUGGACCCCCAGGGCUUCUGUGAUGCGCUCUCAAAGAGUCGAGUUGUUUGGGAAUGCAGCUCAAAAUGGGUGGUGAACUCCAUCUAAAGCUAAAUAUUGGCGAGAGACCGAUAGCGAACAAGUACCGUGAGGGAAAGAUGAAAAGCACUUUGGAAAGAGAGUGAAACAGUACGUGAAAUUGUUGAAAGGGAAACGCUUGAAGUCAGUCGCGUUGACCGAGACUCAGCCUUGCCUUGGCUUGGUGUACUUCUCGGCUGACGGGUCAGCAUCAAUUUUGAUCCUUGGAUAAUGGCAAGGGAAAGGUGGCACCUUUACAGGUGUGUUAUAGUCCUCUGUCGGAUGCAAGGGUUGGGAUUGAGGAACUCAGCACGCACCUCAUCGGUGUCGGGGCCUUGGCCUACGUUACGUGCUUAGGAUGCUGGCAUAAUGGCUUUAAACGACCCGUCUUGAAACACGGACCAAGGAGUCUAACAUGCACGCGAGUGUUCGGGUGGAAAACCCGUGCGCGUAAUGAAAGUAAAAGUUGGGACCUCUGUCGUGGAGGGCACCGACGCCCGGACCAGACCUUCUGUGACGGCUCUGCGGUAGAGCGUGUAUGUUGGGACCCGAAAGAUGGUGAACUAUGCCUGAAUAGGGUGAAGCCAGAGGAAACUCUGGUGGAGGCUCGUAGCGAUUCUGACGUGCAAAUCGAUCGUCAAAUUUGGGUAUAGGGGCGAAAGACUAAUCGAACCAUCUAGUAGCUGG
rnacentral:rRNA from 1 species